rnacentral:rRNA from 1 species
GACGAACGCUGGCGGCGUGCUUAACACAUGCAAGUCGAACGGAGUGGCGAACGGGUGAGUAACACGGGGGUGACCUUCCCUGCCCUUCGGGGUAAGACUGGGAAACUGGGGCUAAUACCGGAUAGUGUGGGAUGGGCCCGCGGCCUAUCGGCUUGUCGGUGUGGUAAUGGCCUACCAAGGCGGCGACGGGGAGCCGGGCUGACAGGGUGGACGGCCAGAUAGGGACUGGGACACGACGCAGAGGGGUACGGGGGGCAGUUGUGGGGAGUGUUGCACAAUGAGCGGACGCCUGAUGGAGGGGCACCGCGGGGGGGAGGUCGGCCUUCGGGUUGGAAACUGCGUUCGGCAUCUAUGCGGUAGAUGGAGAAGAAGCACCGGCUAACUACGUGCCAGCAGCCGCGGUAAUAC